CCCAGGAAUCUGUAUUCUUGAUGAAAACCUUCAGAAAAUUCCUUUGCAGCUAGUCGGGGGAUCCCCACACAGAACCGUUAUUUUCAAAAGCCAACCAUUCAUCAAGAGGACAUCUGGAAUAAUUUUAAGUGGCAUGUCUAACAGGCAUACAGCUGGAAGGUGAGAGGUUACUGCACUCUAAUGACGCUGAUGGCACUCUGUGCUCUCGGCUUUAGUUUUCUUUGUAGCUGCCAUUAUCUUAUACGUACUUUUGCUUAGUUUUGAAAUAAAAUUAGUUUUCCUGAAUAGAAUGAAUGUUCUAAAAUGGUAAGGCAGGUUUUUUUUUUCUUAUUUUGUUUUCUUACCUCUAUCCAGAUUUUAGAACAGAACUUACUCUGUAGACAUAUGCAGCAAAUAAGAAACACGUGACUAUAUGAAUAAACAGUGAGUAAGUAUUUAGGAUACAACUGAAAAUGCUGGUAAACUAAAAAGCUAAAGCCUACCCAAGAAAGCAUCGAAGUUCACCACUGCACCAGCACUCCACCGAAGACCGGGAAUGAGAAAAAAGUCACUUCAUGUGCCUACUUAACAGAGCUGCUCAUAACCAGAGCAAAAAUGGGAGGACACAGACAGGAAAGGGAAAAGUCAAAGUAUCUCUAUUUACAGAUGAUACGGUCCUGUAUUCUAAAGGAAGGGAGGGAGGGAGGGAGGGAGGGAGGGAGGGAGGGAGGGAGGGAGGGAGGGAGGAGGGAGGGAGGGAGGGAGCAUGAACUUAAAAACUCACCAGAAAACUCAGAUCUGGUAACCCUCUCAGCAAAGGGUACAAAGCCAAGAUAGGAAGCUCAGCUUUUCCUCCAAUGGUAGGGGCAUGGAUGGGAGAGGACCCUUCACAGUUACUCUUUAAAAACACCUAGUCUUAUUUUUGUUUGUCUCUUCGCUUGCUUGCUUGCUUGCUUGCUUGCUUGCUUGCCUGCCUGCUUGCUUGCUUGCUUGCUUGCUUGCUUGCUUGCUUGUUAGGCCCUGACAUGACAUGAUGAGACUAGGAUUCUCCGAAGAUGUUGCUGAGUUUGUUUUCUCUUGGCCAUCUACUGCUGGCUGUGUAGCCUACCCUUAAGAGUAGCUUGAUUGCCCCAGUGAGACUCCUUUGGAGGAAAGGAAAUUCUCCUUUGCAAGUGGAUAUCAAUGAGAGAUAGCUUCCGGUUCAGGGGCAGGGGCGAGUGUCCACUCCCUUCAGCUCUGGUGCACACCUGUGCAUGUCCUGUGCUUGCCACCUCAGUCUUGGGUUCCCUGAGCCCCAAGGGGAAGUGUUUGAUGGAGAUACACCACUAUGGCUGAGUGUUCUGAGAUCUCUCAUUCUCUGAAUAUUGUCUGGCUCUGUAAUGAAAACCUUAAGGCACCAAAGAAAGAAAUUAAAGAAGAAACUAGAUGAAAAACACUGUACAUUCUGAAGAUUUCUUCACAUAUUUACCGACUAUUGAUUACUUUUCUUUUGAGAACUGUCUGUUCCUCUGUCCAUUUAUGGAUUGGGUGUAGACAUUUUUCUUGUUUAAUAUUUACUUUUUUUAGUUCUUCAUAGAUUCUAGUUGCAAAUUCCCUGUCAAAUGGCAAAGAUUUUCCUCCUUUUCAGGGGCUAACUCUUCACUCCAUUGAUAAUUUCAUGUAAUUCUCUUUGCUAGUCCCUGGUAUCAUUUGGAGUCUUGUUUCAAAGGAAAGACUGUCCAUGUUUAUCCAAAGCAAUACUAACUUGAAAUAGCAAUGUUGAGACCACACCAAUACCUGACCUCAAACUAUACUACAGGGCCAUAGUGACACAAUACCAUAGUAAUGACACAAAAACAGACACAUAGGCCAAGGUAAUAGAACAAAGGACGGGGGGGGGGGGGCGCGUGAAGCCUAUGUUGCUACAACUAAACAUGCCAAAAAUACAUUUUAAAAAAUAGGGCUGGGGAUAGUAGAUCUCUACAUGCAGAAUGAAUCUAGGUCCAUGCCUCCAACAUUGCAAAAAAAUCAAUUCAAAAGGAACCAAAGUCCUGAAACUCCAAAAUAGUCAAGGAAAGCAGUCAGAGCCGCUCACAAUGCCGCACAGGUGAGGACUCUCUGAAAAGAGUCCUCAUGGCACAGGAGAUCAUUCUAAGAGUCCACAAGUGAGACUGCAUACUAUUGAAAAUCUUUUUGUAGUAAAUAAGCUACCAUCAGAGUGUGAUAAGACAGCCCACAAAAAGGAGAAAAUCUUUGCCAAUUAUACCUUUGACAGAGGAUUAGUAUCUAGAAUCUGCAAAGAACUCAAAAAACUAAAUACCAAAACAAUAAAAAAAUAAUAAAUACACAUCUAUUGAAGAAACAAUUCUCCAAGAAUAAACAUGGGGGUUGGGGUGUAUUUCCAUUAGUAGAGUAUGUGUCUAGCAUGCACAAGGCCCUGGUUCCAUUCCCAGCACCACAAGAAGAAGAAGGAGAACAAGAACAACAAAUGAUUAACAAAUAUAAGAAGAAAUGCCCAGAAUCCUGAGCUACCAAGGAAAUGCAAAUUCAAACAACUUUGAGAGCCCAUCUCACCUAAGUCAGAAUGACUAUCAUGCAGAUGAAGAUGUGACAAGAGAGGAAACUGUACACUGCUGAUAGGAAUAUAAACUGAAACAGCCAUUGUGAAAAUCAAUGCAGAUGAUUUUAAGUUACAAAAAAAAAAAAAAAAAGAAACAAAACUAGUCUGACCCAGAUGUCCCAGCUGAUUAUAUACCCAAAGGCAUAUAAAUCAGAAAGCCACAGAGAAACUUACUCAUGCACGUCUAAUUCUGCUCUCUUCACAAUAGCUAAGACAUAGAGGCAACAUAUAUGCCCAUCAGUGAAUGACUACUGUGGUAGUUUGAAUGUAAUUGGUCUCCAUAAGUUCAUAGGGAGUGGCACUACUGGGACAUGUGGCCUUGGUGAAGAAAGUGUGUCACUGUGAGGGCAGGCUUGUGUGUGGAUGGAAUAGAAUGGUAACUAUUUGUCUAAAGGGACUGUGAAACAAAUAAAGGGAAUGGGAAGUGAAAGAAAAAUGUCACUGCUUCUCUUAUACACGGAAUCUAACAUAUAUUUACAUAUAAAUGUCAAACAGAGCUGAGUGUGCAUGAUCUUUCUUACCAAACCUUUAGGUUACAUGAACUUUUGCUCCUAUGAAACCAUUCAAUCUGGGUCUGGCAAUGAAAGCUUCAUCUGUCCCACACAAAAACCGUAGCCAUCACAAUAACAGCUAGCAG
ensembl:lncRNA